rnacentral:lncRNA from 1 species
UUUUAUUUUAUUUUAUUUUUUUAGAAAUACAGAUUUAUUUAUUUAUUUUUUAUCCCUCCCCCCUCCCCCCACCCCACAACAGUCCCCGGUGUGUGAUGUUCCCCUUCCUGAUUGGUAGUAAAACAAAGGGGGAAAUAGGGAAAUGGCUUGAGAGGAACGUAGAAUCAGAGGAGAGUGAUCAUUUAGCAUGGGUGUCAUCUGAGAGUGUGGUCAGUGGAAAGGGUGACGCUGGUGUAGGUGGAAGGGAUGCUGGGAAGGGUGAAGUGGUCAGGGAAGGUGAGGGUGGGAGGAGUAGC